rnacentral:rRNA from 1 species
GAGUUUGAUUAUGGCUCAGGAUGAACGCUGGCGGCGUGCCUAACACAUGCAAGUCGAGCGCGGUUGUGCUUAGUAUUGAGUGUUUUAUUGAUAUAAAACAUUGAAUUCUAUGCACAACUGAGCGGCGGACGGGUGAGUAACGCGUGGGUAACCUGCCCUAUACACAUGGAUAACAUACUGAAAAGUUUACUAAUACAUGAUAAAAUAGUUUUUCGGCAUCGAAGAAUUAUCAAAGUGUUAGCGGUAUAGGAUGGACCCGCGUCUGAUUAGCUAGUUGGUGAGAUAACUGCCCACCAAGGCGACGAUCAGUAGCCGACCUGAGAGGGUGAUCGGCCACAUUGGAACUGAGACACGGUCCAAACUCCUACGGGAGGCAGCAGUGGGGAAUAUUGCACAAUGGGCGCAAGCCUGAUGCAGCAACGCCGCGUGAACGAUGAAGGUCUUCGGAUCGUAAAGUUCUGUUGCAGGGGAAGAUAAUGACGUACCCUNGAGCC